rnacentral:rRNA from 1 species
CGCGAUUCGCCCUUCGGGGUGCCGAGGCGCGAAUACUUUGCAAUAAGCGAAAGCUUGACAGGGCUAUCCCGAGUGCCAUCCGCUGAGGAAGGCUUUUACCCAGUCUAGAACGCUGGGGGAAUAAGGAGAGGGCAAGUCUGGUGUCAGCCGCCGCGGUAAUACCAGCUCUCCGAGUGGUGUGGAUGUUUAUUGGGCCUAAAGCAUCCGUAGCUGGCUAGGCUAGUCCCCUGUUAAAUCCACCGAAUUAAUCGUUGGAUUGCGGGGGAUACUGCUUGGCUAGGGGACGAGAGAGGCAGACGGUAUUUCCGGGGUAGGGGUGAAAUCCUAUAAUCCCGGGAAGACCACCAGUGGCGAAGGCUGUCUGCUAGAACGCGCCCGACGGUGAGGGAUGAAAGCUGGGGGAGCGAACCGGAUUAGAUACCCGGGUAGUCCCAGCUGUAAACGAUGCAGACUAGGUGUUUGGACGGCCACGUGCCGUUCUAGUGCCGCAGGGAAGCUGUUAAGUCUGCCGCCUGGGGAGUACGAUCGCAAGAUUGAAACUUAAAGGAAUUGGCGGGGGAGCAC